rnacentral:sRNA from 1 species
CAGCACUAUAAAUCUUGGCGGAAAUUCACACUGUAUUUUAUACUGAAUAUUCAGUUCUUGAUUAUUCCAUUGUAUUAUUCUCUUCUCAUCCACUGUCCUUCAGCAUGUAAUCCGCCUGCCACCCACCACGUAGCCAGUGGCGCUUCUCUGCUGUAUCAAUUGGAUCUGAGCGGCGCAAUACUUUUGGUAGCGCCCUCCGUACAUUACGCAGUAAGAGCAGGAGGCCUGAGAACUAUGUAGCUAACAGGUAAUUGCCUAAAAGAUAUGGCAUCGCGGAAUCUUGCGCCACCGGGUAUAUAUAUCACUAUGAGCGCAACCAUUUAACAAAUGGUUUGCCUUGGUUUUUUUCUAUGGAUAACCUAGCGGUCAUAGUGCUAUCUCAUCACAGGGAGCUGGAAUGGAGAUUCAGGGCGAAAAGGUUUUAAUUUAUUGAUAAUGCAUUGCAUUGAUGCAUAAUUUCCCACUUUGUUUUCUACUACUCAUUAGUGGUCAAUAACAUUUCAGUAUUCUCAUUUAAUAUCUACGCAGGAGAUUAUAUUCUCCUUCUCCAGUGCAUAUCAUAACGAUCUAUGCAUUACUUUGCUAGUGGUAUAUUUUAGCAUCAACCUUAAUUAAUCACCCCUGGACGCUAAAAUGAUUUAGGGUUAAACUUCCGCUUCGCUCCAUUAGAUUCAAUCACUCACAAACCAAAGAGUGAGAGCUUGAGAAAUAGAGAAAACACUCUCAAAGAAUACACACGGCUUGAAAGAGGGUAGAAUAUGAGAGCAAU